UGGGGAAUAUUGCACAAUGGAGGGAACUCUGAUGCAGCGACGCCGCGUGAACGAAGAAGGCUUUCGAGUCGUAAAGUUCUUUUAUAUGGGAAGAUAAUGACGGUACCAUAAGAAAAAGCCCCGGCUAACUACGUGCCAGCAGCCGCGGUAAUACGUAGGGGGCUAGCGUUGUCCGGAAUCACUGGGCGUAAAGGGUUCGCAGGCGGAAAUGCAAGUCAGGUGUAAAAGGCAGUAGCUUAACUACUGAAAGCAUUUGAAACUGCAUAUCUUGAGAAGAGUAGAGGUAAGUGGAAUUUUUAGUGUAGCGGUGAAAUGCGUAGAUAUUAAAAAGAAUACCGGUGGCGAAGGCGACUUACUGGGCUCAUUCUGACGCUGAGGAACGAAAGCGUGGGUAGCAAACAGG
rnacentral:rRNA from 3 species